rnacentral:rRNA from 1 species
UACGUAGGGUGCAAGCGUUAAUCGGAAUUACUGGGCGUAAAGCGUGCGCAGGCGGCGCUGUAAGUCAGGUGUGAAAUCCCCGGGCUUAACCUGGGAACUGCAUUUGUGACUGCAUCGCUGGAGUGCGGCAGAGGGGGAUGGAAUUCCGCGUGUAGCAGUGAAAUGCGUAGAUAUGCGGAGGAACACCGAUGGCGAAGGCAAUCCCCUGGGCCUGCACUGACGCUCAUGCACGAAAGCGUGGGGAGCAAACAGG